AGCAUAGAAUGUCAGAUCUAG
rnacentral:miRNA from 1 species